AGAGGUGGGCCUGUGCAAGCCCCAUGAAAUUCAACAAGGCCGUGUGCAAGGUCCUGCACUGAAGCAGGCCCAGGGCCUGCAAUGGCUCCUUGGUCGUCAGAAGCCUGAGCUAGGAAAUGCCAAGUCAUGAUGACUGGACCUUAGAAGCCCCUCUCUUCUGCCUUCAGACCCUGCUUAUCUCACUGUAAGCCUAUAGGUCACUUUCCCUUGACCCUUACUAUUGGACAAUUUCCAAAACCCCUGUAAGGUAUAUAAACCCUUACUUCUGCCUAGUUUGGCAGAAGAGCUGUCACUGUGAACCUUCAUGGAAGACCCCAGUAAAGAAUUCUUCGGAACCUCACACAGCCCUUGUCCUUUCUCUCCCAAUGUCUGCUGCGGCACCUAGCAAGCAAAAGAGCUGAAAUCACAAAGAGCUAUCAAUCACAAAGAGCUGACAUCACCUGAGCUUGCUAAGGUUGCCUGCGGCUGGGAGCUGCUUGGGAGUUCAGACAUGCUGUGCUGAGCACCACUGAGCUAUCUGGACAAGGCAGCCCACCGGGCAUAGCCCGGCUGGUAGCCGCCAAUAAACUGGCGCCUGAACACUGCUACAACUGUGGAGCAGCAUUUCUUCUUGAAAUUGUUACUGCCUUUGCUCACCAAGACCCCCUGAAGAAAAGCCCUCUGUUAUAGCAGGACUCUUCUCCAGGCCUGUCAGUCGACCCUCACUGCUGACAUCUGGAUGACUGUCUGAGGAGACUGACAAAGCAGACACCCUCCAGCAGACCUUCGACCCACAUCCCGCUGAAGAAGUGCAGGCAUAGACAGCACCUGAACAGUGACUGCAGCCCUCCUGUACUACAGCAGGAAGCAGCUGCACCUGCUAGAACUGAGUGCAGAAAGCCUGCGGCUUGGUUUAAAAGAUUUAAGCUGCUUCCCAAGUGUGAGUAUUGACAGAGCAACUCUUUUGUAUGUCACUCCAUGGGGCAUUCAGAAGGAGAAGUCCUGCCAACUUACACAAGAGAUUUGACAGCUUCAGAACAUUCCCUCCUGCCACUGAAGAGCUUAUCUGCUAUGUUCAUCAGCUGGUGCAUAGCUCCAGACAUUCUGCCCCUGCAAGAACUGGUGACAUAACCCAGGCUGGACAGAUGUUGAGCUGUAAGUUAUCUCUGGCACCAGGGAGGAGAGAUCCCCAUCUGACAAUAAAUAUCUCGCCUUGACGCAAGAUGUAGGGAGAUAAGCUAGGAAUUCCCGACUGUGAGACACAUUACUUUAAUAAUUAUAAAAGCUAUACAAAUUUUCAUGGAGGUACAAGUGUCUUACACACACCCUGGAAAUGUGCAUAACUUCUCCCAUGAGUUCGGAUGUAAGUUCUGCAGUUAUAUUCUACGGAAUUGAGAGGAAGGAUCCUAUGUGUUCCCCAUCAGCAAUCGGAUGGUAAAUUACAUGGAAUCCUAAUCUAUGCUAUAUCUUUACUCGCUGUAAUAUUAGGUACCUCAGUUGUGCACUACAUAUUAUCUGGUAGUAGUGUUUCUUUAAUUUAUCCUCUGUAGUAUGUAAUCUGUUGAAGUCUUAUGUCUGUUAAAUUUGUGUUAAUUAAAUAAUUCAUUUUGUAAUUUACCUAAUCGACUAUUAUUAAGAAGCUGUGAGGGAGAGUGAUCUGGGCUGCAGGCUACCCACAACAGUCCUACUGCCAGAAAUCUGAGUCAAAGGCAGGACUUAAGCUCUCCUCUACAUUCGUAGCAAUGUACACCAAGAACAUUGCAAAGAAUAUUAUGGACUUCAAUAUUUGUUGACACUUUACACAUAUAGCCAUUUCCAAUUAACCAAAGUAUCUCAGAUCAUUAAAAAAAUGGUUGUUCACUCUAAAUUUUUUGUUGAUUUAAUUACAUAUACUUAUAUUUCUGCAGCAGUUUGUAUUUGGGUAACCCAAAUUUUGGGUUACAAUCCAA